GGGGAUUUAGCUCAGUGGUAGAGCGCUUGCCUAGCAAGCGCAAGGCCCUGGGUUCGGUCCCCAGUUCCA
rfam:Rattus norvegicus chromosome 2, whole genome shotgun sequence.